AAUUUCCCAUGAACACUCCAAAAUGGUCGCCUUACCGACCGGCAGCAGAGAAGUGCAAACAGCCAUGAAGCGCCAUGGCGAGCGUGAUGGCGCUCUCACCGAGGCAGCGUGUCGCUGUACGGGUCCCUGCGUGCGAGGAGACACAGUUUAGGCUGACCACCUCAUCACCACUUCAAGAUGGCGGCCCAAUUUCUCGCGUCACAGCAGCCAAUGCUGCGUCUAUGGGAGUACGCCUAAAAUGGCAGGCGCUAGGACCCCGCGGACGCCUCCUCCAUGCAGCAGCAGCAGUGAAAGGGACCAGAAAUCCGCCGCUCGCCGCGAGAGGAGAUCGAAAUGAUGCUGCCGUCAAAAAAGGAUUAAAAACCCGGAGCAUCAACCCGCCGCCGCCGCCGGUGGAAACAUACAUCCGGAGGAGGAGGGGGGGGGGAGACAUGCCGUCGCAGAGCAUCCGUCGCGACGCCUGACUCGACCCCCACCAUGAUGAAGACAGAAGCCACCACCAAGAGCUCCACUCUCAGGAGCGCCUCCCCGCACAGGAGCGCCUACGAGGCGGGGAUGCAGGCCCUCAAGCCCGUGGCGGACAGCGCCGCCGCCAACGGGGACGUGCGGCAGGACGGCCCCCGCGGGCGCCGCUACGGAUCCAACGUGCACCGCAUCAAGAACAUGUUCCAGCAGCUGCAGACCACUGGCGACGCCGAGGCCGAGGAGGACGCCAGGGAGGGCGACAAAGCCGUGCGUCUCUCCCUGCCCAGGGCCGGCAGCCUGAACGAGAACGUGGACCACAGCGCCCUCCUCAAGCUGGGCUCCACCGUCUCCGAGCGGGUCAGCAAGUUCGACACCAAGCCCGAGAACGGGCACCAGCGGGCGUCCUCCAAGCUGCAGGAGACGCGGCGCAUCUUCGAGCAGGACAAGCUGGCCACCACCCGGGUCCUGCUCAAGUCCGACAAGGGCCCCGGCCUGCAGGAGGGCCGGCUGGACAUGAUGGCGCGCUUCAACGGCAGCACCGAGUCCCUGGACAGCCUGGACGCCGGCGAGGCCGUGUCCCCCACCGUCAGCCAGCUCAGCGCCGUCUUCGAGCGGGCGGCCGAGCUGCGCAACAACCUGAACCGCCUCUCGUCCACGCCGCCGCUGCCCUCCCGGGGGGUCAGCGCCAAGGUGGGCGUGCUCAACUCCAAGGUCAUCACCAAGCGGGCCCAGGGCGAGGAGAAGGACCAGGAGGCACGAGCCAGGAGCGUGAACGGCGGUCAGAAGGAGGCGGAGCGGCACGGGGCCAAGAUGGUGUCGGACGCCGGCGUGGAGGCCAAAGCGGAGCAGCUGGAGGAGGCCGGCGGCGCGGCGAGAACGGAGAACGGGGAAAGCGAGGUGCUGGGACUGGCCGGCGCGGAGGAUAGCAGGACUCUGGGAGACGACGAAGGAAGCCAGGAGGAAGACGAGGAGGACGACCGCUACGAGGCCGAGUCCAGCUGCGUGGAGAUCGCCGGGCUGCCCGCCGAGGAGGACCCGCCCCCUUCCAGGAAGAUCCGCUUCAGCUCGGAGCCCAUCAAGGUGUUCGCCACCUACCCCAACGAGGACUACGACCGGCGCAACGAGGACGUGGACCCCAUGGCGGCGUCGGCGGAGUACGAGCUGGAGAAGAGGGUGGAGAGGCUGGACCUGUUCCCUGUGGAGCUGGAGAAAGACCAGGACGGCCUGGGCAUCAGCAUCAUCGGCAUGGGCGCCGGGGCCGACAUGGGCCUGGAGAAGCUGGGCAUCUUCGUCAAGACCGUCACCGAGGGCGGGGCGGCGCAGCGCCACGGCAGGAUCCAAGUGAACGACCUCAUCGUGGAAGUGGACGGCACCAGUUUGGUGGGAGUCACGCAGACGUUUGCCGCCACCGUGCUGAGGAACACGUCAGGAACCGUCAAGUUCUUCAUCGGGCGUGAGAAGCCGGGCGAGCAGAGCGAGGUGGCCCAGCUGAUCCAGCAGACUCUGGAGCAGGAGCGCUGGCAGAGGGAGAUGCUGGAGCAGCGCUACAAUCAGUACAUGGAGGAGCAGGAGGGUGGCGAGUACGGCACAGACGAGGAGGACGAGGAGGACGAAGACGUCAGCCCGCAGUACACCGGCGCCAUCGAGGUGUUCGACCUGGCGGAGAACGAGGACCUGUCGCCCCUGGAGACGGACCCUGAGAAACUGGCCCAUAAAUACAAAGAGCUCCAAAUCAAACACGCGGUGACGCAGGCGGAGAUCCAGCAGCUGAAGAGGAAGCUGCAGCACGCCGAGCAGGAGCGUCAGCGCUGGCGGGCGGACAAGGCCCAGCUGGAGCAGACCCUGCAGGAGAACAAGGAGCGCAUGGAGAAGCUGGAGGGCUACUGGAUGGAGGCGCAGAGUCUGUGCCAGGCCGUGGACGAGCACCUGAAGGAGACCCAGGCGCAGUACCAGGCGCUGGAGCGCAAGUACGGCAAGGCCAAGCGGCUCAUCAAGGACUACCAGCAGAAGGAGGUGGACUACCUGAAGAAGGAGACGCAGCGAUGCGCGCAAGUCGGAGCCGAGGCGUCGCUCCUCCAGGAGGAGUCGGGUCAACUGCAGGAACAGGUCAGUCUCAACUUCAACACCCAACACCCGUGAAAAGGAUUGUUGUAAUGACUGAUCAAUUCAUUUCAAUCAUUGAUGAAUUGUUAUGGUGCACAUCUGUAUUGAUUGAUCAAUUCAUUGGAAUCAUUGAUGAAUUGUUAUGGUGCACAUCUGUAUUGAUUGAUCAAUUCAUGAGGGAAAAGCUAAUUAAUAUUCUGUUGCUUCAAUUAAACGUCUGAGUUGAACGAGUAUAAAUGUUUCCAAUCCUGAUGGCUGAAACAUGUUGAAUAGAAGUUCAAAGGUAAUAAAAGUCCAAGUCUAAGUAAAUUAAAAGUCAAAUAAAUUGGAAAAAAAGCUAGACAAAAAUUUAAUUAAAAAGUAAAAUAAGUUAAAUAGAUGGUCAUAUAAAAAAGGUAAAUAGAAUGUAAUAGAAGUAAAUUAAAAGGUAAGAUAAGAUGGGAAAAAAGCUAGAUAAAAGGUAAUUAAAACUAAAAUAAGUUAAACAGAAGGUAAAUAGAAUGUAAUAGAAGUAAAUUAAAGGUAAAAUAAGGUGGAAAAAAAGCUAGAUAAAAGGUAAUUAAAAAGUAAAAUAACUUAAAUAGAAGGUAAUAGAAGUUAAAUGUAAAAUAAGGUAAAUAGAAUGUAAUAUAAGUAAAUUAAAGGUAAAAUAAGGUGGAAAAAAACGAGAUAAAAGAUCAUUAAAAAGUAAAACAACUUAAAUAUAAGGUAAUAGAAGUAAAUUAAAUGUAAAAUAAGGUAAAUAGAAUCUAAUUAAGUAAAUUAAAGGUAAAAUAAGGUGGAAAAAAGCUAG